CGCGGUCAGGCAGGCGAGGGUGCGGUCGCGGUUGACGGCCGCGACCGCGUCGACGACCACCGGCUCCAUACCGGUGAGCGCGA
rnacentral:tRNA from 1 species